GGGGUUGUAGCUCAGUGGUACAGCACUUGCCUGGAAUGUACAAGGCUCUGGGUUCAAUCCCCAGCACCUCA
rnacentral:tRNA from 1 species